rnacentral:lncRNA from 1 species
CAUCUUUGCGAUAGACUCGACAUGGUCAAAAUGAUUGAUGGAACACUAGAUAUUUUAUUACGUAAACCGUGCGGCCAUCUUCGUGAUAGGCACGACAUGGUCGAAAGGAUUAAUCGAGCGGUCAUCUUCGUGAUAUGCUCGACACGAUUAAACUCCACGUACUUGAACAAAAUAUGACAAAAAAAAUAUAAUAAUAAGAAUGAUAAUAAAAAAAAUAAACGGGUUCUGUUUUGAUUCGUCAACUUCGUUCGAUUCGAUCGUAUUACUCGACAUGAUCAAUUUCGUAUAUUUCCUUUUUUUAAAAAAAAAAUAAACGAAAUUUUAUAUAU